rnacentral:rRNA from 1 species
GAUGAACGCUGGCGGCGUGCCUAAUACAUGCAAGUCGAGCGAACAGACGAGGAGCUUGCUCCUCUGACGUUAGCGGCGGACGGGUGAGUAACACGUGGAUAACCUACCUAUAAGACUGGGAUAACUUCGGGAAACCGGAGCUAAUACCGGAUAAUAUAUUGAACCGCAUGGUUCAAUAGUGAAAGACGGUUUUGCUGUCACUUAUAGAUGGAUCCGCGCCGCAUUAGCUAGUUGGUAAGGUAACGGCUUACCAAGGCGACGAUGCGUAGCCGACCUGAGAGGGUGAUCGGCCACACUGGAACUGAGACACGGUCCAGACUCCUACGGGAGGCAGCAGUAGGGAAUCUUCCGCAAUGGGCGAAAGCCUGACGGAGCAACGCCGCGUGAGUGAUGAAGGUCUUCAGAUCGUAAAACUCUGUUAUUAGGGAAGAACAAAUGUGUAAGUAACUAUGCACGUCUUGACGGUACCUAAUCAGAAAGCCACGGCUAACUACGUG